rnacentral:rRNA from 1 species
GAUGAACGCCGGCGGCGUGCCUAAUACAUGCAAGUCGAGCGAACAGACGAGGAGCUUGCUCCUCUGACGUUAGCGGCGGACGGGUGAGUAACAUGUGGAUAACCUACCUAUCAGACUGGUAUAACUUCGGGAAACCGGAGCUAAUACCGGAUAAUAUAUUUAACCGCAUGGUUCUAUAGUGAAAGACGGUUUUGCUGUCACUUAUAGAUGGAUCCGCGCCGCAUUAGCUAGUUGGUAAGGUAACGGCAUACCAAGGCAACGAUGCGUAGCCGACCUGAGAGAGUGAUAGGCCACACUGGAACGGAGACACGGUCCAGACUACUAAGGGAGGCAGCAGUAGGCAAUCUUCCGCAAUGGGGGAAAGCAUGACGGAGCAACGUCGCGUGAGUGAUGAAGAUCUUCGGAUCGUAAAACUCUGUUAUUAGGGAAGAACAAAUGUGUAAGUAACUGUGCACGUCUUGACGGUACCUAAUCAGAAAGCCACGGCUAACUACGUG